rnacentral:misc_RNA from 1 species
GAUGAAGAACGUAGCGAAAUGCGAUAAGUAGUGUGAAUUGCAGAAUUCAGUGAAUCAUCGAAUCUUUGAACGCACAUUGCGCCCCUUGGUAUUCCAUGGGGCAUGCCUGUUCGAGCGUCAUUUGUACCUUCAAGCUUUGCUUGGUGUUGGGUGUUUGUCCUGAGGGACUCGCCUUAAAGUAAUUGGCAGCCAGUGUUUUGGUUUUGAAGCGCAGCACAAGUCGCGAUUCAAAGCUAUACGCCAGCUUCCACAAGCCUUUUUCACUUUUGACCUCGGAUCAGGUAGGGAUACCAGCUGAACUUAAGCAUAUCAAUAAGCGGAGGA